rnacentral:rRNA from 1 species
UACGGGAGGCAGCAGUGGGGAAUAUUGCACAAUGGGCGCAAGCCUGAUGCAGCCAUGCCGCGUGUAUGAAGAAGGCCUUCGGGUUGUAAAAGUACUUUCAGCGGGGAGGAAGGCGGUGGAGUUAAUAGCUUCACCGAUUGACGUUACCCGCAGAAGAAGCACCGGCUAACUCCGUGCCAGCAGCCGCGGUAAUACGGAGGGUGCAAGCGUUAAUCGGAAUUACUGGGCGUAAAAGCGCACGCAGGCGGUCUGUCAAGUCGGAUGUGAAAUCCCCGGGCUUAACCUGGGAACUGCAUUCGAAACUGGCAGGCUAGAGUCUUGUAGAGGGGGUAGAAUUCCAGGUGUAGCGGUGAAAUGCGUAGAGAUCUGGAGGAAUACCGGUGGCGAAGGCGGCCCCUGGGACAAAGACUGACGCUCAGGGUGCGAAAGCUGGGGAGCGAAACAGGGAUUAGAUACC